AAAUUAUUGAGCUGCUUGGCUGAUGUCAUGUUGCUUCCCACUCUUUGACUUUGUGGGGUUAAUAAAUAUGUCCCUCUCUGAACCAUUUUCAUUUGCCUUAACAGUAAAAGAAAACUACAGGUUUCCUCUUUCCUUUUCCUCUUUCCCUUGGAGGGAAGAAAAGCAGCUUCUGUGGUGGCUGAAACUGUGUGGAUGUUUGAUUGCAAG
rnacentral:misc_RNA from 1 species